GACGAACGCUGGCGGCGUGCUUAACACAUGCCAGUCGAACGGAAAGGCCCGGCUUUUGUGGGGUGCUCGAGUGGCGAAAGGGUGAGUAACACGUGAGUAACCUGCCCUUGACUUUGGGAUAACUUCAGGAAACUGGGGCUAAUACCGGAUAUGAGCUCCUGCUGCAUGGUGGUGGUUGGAAAGUUUCGGCGGUUGGGGAUGGACUCGCGGCUUAUCAGCUUGUUGGUGGGGUAGUGGCUUACCAAGGCUUUGACGGGUAGCCGGCCUGAGAGGGUGACCGGCCACAUUGGGACUGAGAUACGGCCCAGACUCCUACGGGAGGCAGCAGUGGGGAAUAUUGCACAAUGGGCGGAAGCAUGAUGCAGCAACGCCGCGUGCGAGAUGACGGCCUUCGGGUUGUAAACCGCUUUCGCCUGUGACGAAGCGUGAGUGACGGUAAUGGGUAAAGAAGCACCGGCUAACUACGUG
rnacentral:rRNA from 1 species